rnacentral:ncRNA from 1 species
GACCGCGGUGUCCUCCGAGGAGGGAGAAUAGGGAAUCAGGUGAAAAUCCUGAACGAUCUCGUCACUGUAUGCGGGGAGCGACGGCAAACGCGCCACUGGCCUCAUGGGCCGGGAAGGCUGCCGGAGCCCUGAUCCGUAAGUCAGGAGACCUGCCGCCUGGU